rnacentral:lncRNA from 1 species
UUUCCCCUUUUCGUUUUAAAUCCCAGGAUAGCAAUAAGUUUGUUGGGUAGGCGACCUUUUGUAAUUUUAUUCUUCCUUCCUUUUUUUUUCUUUUAAUUUUCUUAUCGUUUUUCUAGUUUCUGUUGCGACGACCGGCUCCGCCUGCACCGCCUGUUCGUUUCGUGAAAUUAAAUAAGAGCUUAUUAAUGGCCAGUUUUUUCUUUCUAGAAAACAUUUUGUCGGUAGUUUUAAGCGGUUAUUCCAUCAAAGACUUGAAUAGAUAAACAAAUGAAAAUGCGCACUAAAAGCGCUUGAUGGUCUGGAGGUCAUCAUCUUUCCGCACGAGAAUGAUUUUUUUUUUUUUUUCACGCAUGCAUGGGCGAGGAUUAGGGGCGUUAUUAAUGAAACGUCGACCGACAACAACAAAAACUUUGAUUUAAAACCGCCGAACGCGCUGCUGCCAAAUAUAAUGACCGCGUCCGCAUUGAAAAAAGGCUUUUGCUCCCGAUCCUCUCGGUGGGGAAUACUUCAAGUUGUGAGUGAAUUAAUCGUUACGACCGAGCUUUAUUAUCCGCAAAAAUGUCUAGCUCCCUGUAAUAUUUUCUUGCUACGCAGCGGAAACGAAGGAAACUCUUCGCCCGACUCCGACUUUCUGUUGAUGUAGUGGAUUGGGGCGGACGAAUUAUUUCAGAUAUUGCGCUCAACAGUCUCGUUGCCUGACUACGACGAUAUUAAAACCAAUUUCCUUUUCACGCAAUUUCGACGGGAUAUUAAAAAAUAAAAAAAAGUUGGCCAGAUUAAAUUCGUAAAUGCGUCUGCUGAACAGCAGGAAAGUAAAAGGCCAAAGGAGCGUAUGGUGCAGCCGAGUCCAAUUUAACUGAAUUGGAGUCAAGCUGUGCUGGAAAUAAACGGAAAGAAACAAAAAAGAAAAUUGCGGUUGGAAACCGUACGAACCGACGAUGACAGAUAAUGGAUGAAACGAGACGAGGUUAGCAAAGUGAUUAAAAUGAUGAGAGACGGGUAUCUAUGUAUAUCAUCAGCUAUCAUCAGCGUAUACUGUAAUAUCGAUCGUAUAUUGUGUGUGCGUGAGCGCUUGUACGUGCGCGUUCAAGUGCUGAGCUUUGAACUCUUGGACGGCCGAGGAUUGGAUGCAUUCGUUAAUUGAAUGAGACUUUAUUGAAGAAGCCAUCGUCUUCAAUACACGCGUAGGCAUAACGACGUUCGACCUGAAUUCGCUGUCAACUACUCCCCACCAGCAAUCCGGAUUUUAACAAGGUGAUUCAAGUUGACUCUUUUCUGUUUGUGUUUGACGAGUUCUAUUCGUCUUUUUUUUUUUUUUAUCUCUGGCAAACACAUAUUAGAUGAUAAUGCCUAUUUUUCUUUCCCUUUCUAUUUAUGUGUCUUCCUUAUUCUCUUUUACGUUUCUUUCAGUUCCGUCGUUGCGGAAUCCAUUUUGGUUGGGGCGCAAGAUUGCCCGCAGACAGGCGUAUUUACACGAAGAGCGGGAUUCAAUCUUGGCACCAUUCAAAUAAAGAAAGAGAAGAAAAAAAAACCCGACGAAGAACUAGGAUUAAAUAUACAGAGAAUGCCAACAAGGCGCUAUAGAGAAUGUGCACACGCCCCUCCUCGAACCGGAAUUCUUUCUUCUUCCUUUAAAAAAAAAAAAAUACGCUGGAAGAAGGAAAGAAGAUAGAAAGA